CCCCGACUGGUCUAGUUGGUAUGAUGUCAGGCUGUCAAUGCUCUUGUAUAGCAAGAUACUUGAAGGUCAGGGGUUCGAUCCCCCUGUCGGGGA